AAUAGAAGAAUGACAAAUCAGAUUUUUCUCCUGAUUUUUAAUUUUUUCCUCUUGAAAAAAUUCAAAUUCAACUUAAAAAUGCUGAGAAUCAGGAGGAAAAAUAUGAUUUGUCAUUCUCCUAUU
rfam:Gossypium hirsutum cultivar TM-1 chromosome 10, whole genome shotgun sequence